rnacentral:rRNA from 1 species
AGCGAACGCUGGCGGCAGGCCUAACACAUGCAAGUCGAACGAACCUUUCGGGGUUAGUGGCGGACGGGUGAGUAACACGUGGGAACGUGCCCUUAGGUUCGGAAUAACUCAGGGAAACUUGUGCUAAUACCGAAUGUGCCCUUCGGGGGAAAGAUUUGUCGCCUUUAGAGCGGCCCGCGUCUGAUUAGCUAGUUGGUUGAGGUAAUGGCUCACCCAGGCGACGAUCAGUAGCUGGUCUGAGAGGAUGAUCAGCCACAUUGGGACUGAGACACGGCCCAAACUCCUACGGGAGGCAGCAGUGGGGAAUCUUGCGCAAUGGGCGAAAGCCUGACGCAGCCAUGCCGCGUGAAUGAUGAAGGUCUUAGGAUUGUAAAAUUCUUUCACCGGGGACGAUAAUGACGGUACCCGGAGAAGAAGCCCCGGCUAACUUCGUG